rnacentral:rRNA from 1 species
AUGAACGCUGGCGGCGUGCCUCAUACAUGCAAGUCGAGCGAACAGACGAGGAGCUUGCUCCUCUGACGUUAGCGGCGGACGGGUGAGUAACACGUGGAUAACCUACCUAUAAGACUGGGAUAACUUCGGGAAACCGGAGCUAAUACCGGAUAAUAUAUUGAACCGCAUGGUUCAAUAGUGAAAGACGGUUUUGCUGUCACUUAUAGAUGGAUCCGCGCCGCAUUAGCUAGUUGGUAAGGUAACGGCUUACCAAGGCAACGAUGCGUAGCCGACCUGAGAGGGUGAUCGGCCACACUGGAACUGAGACACGGUCCAGACUCCUACGGGAGGUAGCAGUAGGGAAUCUUCCGCAAUGGGCGAAAGCCUGACGGAGCAACGCCGCGUGAGUGAUGAAGGUCUUCGGAUCGUAAAACUCUGUUAUUAGGGAAGAACAAAUGUGUAAGUAACUAUGCACGUCUUGACGGUACCUAAUCAGAAAGCCACGGCUAACUACGUG